UGGGUUUGAUCCUGGCUCAGAUUGAACGCUGGCGGCAGGCUUAACACAUGCAAGUCGAGCGGAGAGAGGUAGCUUGCUACUGAUCUUAGCGGCGGACGGGUGAGUAAUGCUUAGGAAUCUGCCUAUUAGUGGGGGACAACAUUUCGAAAGGAAUGCUAAUACCGCAUACGUCCUACGGGAGAAAGCAGGGGAUCUUCGGACCUUGCGCUAAUAGAUGAGCCUAAGUCGGAUUAGCUAGUUGGUGGGGUAAAGGCCUACCAAGGCGACGAUCUGUAGCGGGUCUGAGAGGAUGAUCCGCCACACUGGGACUGAGACACGGCCCAGACUCCUACGGGAGGCAGCAGUGGGGAAUAUUGGACAAUGGGCGCAAGCCUGAUCCAGCCAUGCCGCGUGUGUGAAGAAGGCCUUAUGGUUGUAAAGCACUUUAAGCGAGGAGGAGGCUACUUUAGUUAAUACCUAGAGAUAGUGGACGUUACUCGCAGAAUAAGCACCGGCUAACUCUGUGCCAGCAGCCGCGGUAAUACAGAGGGUGCAAGCGUUAAUCGGAUUUACUGGGCGUAAAGCGCGCGUAGGCGGCUAAUUAAGUCAAAUGUGAAAUCCCCGAGCUUAACUUGGGAAUUGCAUUCGAUACUGGUUAGCUAGAGUGUGGGAGAGGAUGGUAGAAUUCCAGGUGUAGCGGUGAAAUGCGUAGAGAUCUGGAGGAAUACCGAUGGCGAAGGCAGCCAUCUGGCCUAACACUGACGCUGAGGUGCGAAAGCAUGGGGAGCAAACAGGAUUAGAUACCCUGGUAGUCCAUGCCGUAAACGAUGUCUACUAGCUGUUGGGGCCUUUGAGGCUUUAGUGGCGCAGCUAACGCGAUAAGUAGACCGCCUGGGGAGUACGGUCGCAAGACUAAAACUCAAAUGAAUUGACGGGGGCCCGCACAAGCGGUGGAGCAUGUGGUUUAAUUCGAUGCAACGCGAAGAACCUUACCUGGCCUUGACAUAGUAAGAACUUUCCAGAGAUGGAUUGGUGCCUUCGGGAACUUACAUACAGGUGCUGCAUGGCUGUCGUCAGCUCGUGUCGUGAGAUGUUGGGUUAAGUCCCGCAACGAGCGCAACCCUUUUCCUUAUUUGCCAGCGAGUAAUGUCGGGAACUUUAAGGAUACUGCCAGUGACAAACUGGAGGAAGGCGGGGACGACGUCAAGUCAUCAUGGCCCUUACGGCCAGGGCUACACACGUGCUACAAUGGUCGGUACAAAGGGUUGCUACCUAGCGAUAGGAUGCUAAUCUCAAAAAGCCUAUCGUAGUCCGGAUUGGAGUCUGCAACUCGACUCCAUGAAGUCGGAAUCGCUAGUAAUCGCGGAUCAGAAUGCCGCGGUGAAUACGUUCCCGGGCCUUGUACACACCGCCCGUCACACCAUGGGAGUUUGUUGCACCAGAAGUAGCUAGCCUAACUGCAAAGAGGGCGGUUACCACGGUGUGGCCGAUGACUGGGGUGAAGUCGUAACAAGGUAGCC
rnacentral:rRNA from 1 species